rnacentral:rRNA from 1 species
GCCUCUUGAUUAAACCAUAAGAGGUCCAGCCUGCCCAGUGACAUUGUUCAACGGCCGCGGUAUCCUAACCGUGCGAAGGUAGCGUAAUCACUUGUCCUUUAAAUGAAGACUAGUAUGAAUGGCCCCACGAAAGCUAUACUGUCUCCUUUUUCUAAUCAGUUAAACUAAUCUCCCCGUGAAGAAGCGGGGAUAAACAUAUAAGACGAGAAGACCCUAUGGAGCUUUAAACAACUGAAACAUUUGUAUACCUCCCUUCACCUACCCACAUUUAACUCCACAUCUUGUUUCUAGUUUUAGGUUGGGGUGACCACGGAGAAAAAACUAACCUCCACGAUGAAAGAGACAUCUCUAAACAAAAAGCUACAUCUUUAUGUAUUAAUACAUUAACCUUUAUUGACCCA